UACGUAGGGUGCAAGCGUUUAAUCGGAAUUACUGGGCGUAAAGCGUGCGCAGGCGGUGAUGUAAGACCGAUGUGAAAUCCCCGGGACUUAACCUGGGAACUGCAUUUGUGUACUGCAUGGCUGGAGUGCGGCAGAGGGGGAUGGAAUUCCGCGUGUAGCAGUGAAAUGCGUAGAUAUGCGGAGGAACACCGAGUGGCGAA
rnacentral:rRNA from 1 species